CUACAGCCGCUCCGGGGAGACCUCUGCGUCUAAAUGAAACUGAUUAUGGAAACAAACUGAGCCUCAGCCUGUAGAGUGGCCCUAUGUUUUUCAUUAUAACUAAUCUCAGCUUGGCUUAUGGUGGACGCUAUUGUUAAGGUGAAUGCACCUGGUAUUCCAUCUGACAUAUAAAUGUUGGUUAAUGUUGGUGAUUAACAGCCCAGGAGUUUCUCUGCUGGUGUGACUGACUGCCAAACAGCACCAGCCCAUUGCAGUUUUUACAAUUUAAGGGGUGUUCCCCCCCCUAACAACCUAUCAGGAUUCCAGUCACAUCUCUGUGUGCAGCGAUGCAUUGAAUAGGCACCUAUACUCCCGGGCGGUGCCGAGGCUCAUGGAGGAUGCCGUGCAUUGAAGACACAAUAACAGGACCUUUGAUGCUCUCACCCGCACUCCUGGGACCACAGAAGAGGGCAGCGCUGCCUCUGUGAAGCCGAUGGUGGCGAUUGCUGUCCGGUUAAAUGUCACACCAAUAUUUCUUGCGUAAAAAGAUUGGAUUCCCCUGCAUCCCUUAGAGCCACUGGGGACUGAUGCAUCAUUUGGAGAAGCUCAUUACUCUUUCAUGGGCGCUUCUCGUCACUCAAGGACCCAAGUGCACACACACACACACACACACACACACACACACACACACACCCACACACACACACACCUUUUCCUAGUACAUGAGAGGGCUCUCACACAUAAGGUCACCAUUAAUUAAGCUUCUCACAGUUGUGGAGAUGAUGAUGGAUGGUUGAUAUUUCCUCAGAAAGCCCACUCCGUUGUGGACGCCCGGUAAAGGCUUUACUCCAUCAGUCAGCCAUGAAUCUAUUUCCUGCUGUCUGGUUGUGCCACUGGGCUCUAAACACAAUAGUGAGGAUGGCGUCUGAGUGGAUGUGGAGUUAAUGACAUUCUGUCACCACUGAUGUGGUGUAGACUCCACAAAGGAUUCAUCUUCCCCUUCAGACCUGAAAGUGACGGAGCAAAGACAGGGAGAACAGACAGUCUUUUUCUUCAAUUCGAACACUGUCCCAAGUUUUGUGUUUAGUUCCUCAUUAGUACCCUCCUCAUUUUUGCUACAUGUACAUGUGCUUGUUCUUUUUUGUCCUUAGUCACAAGCUCUUGCUUCAGGAAGUAUAAUGAGCACAUGCUACAGCUCUCAUUAUGUUAUUGGCGUGAGGAGCAAAAUACUACAAAACAGUUGCUUUGGCAUCCGUAAGACACCAUCAUAUUUCCAAAGUUCAGAAAACAUACAAUCUUCUACUCUUCAACAGGUGUGUCUAACUCCAAAAUUGUUUUGAAAAGCGUAUUUCAAACUGUUCACGUCAUAUUAAACAGCACUGUUGUGUUUACAUGCAACAAAUCAUCCUUAUUAUGGAGCCUCUUAUCAUUUUAUUGUUUCAUGUUCUUCAUGUGAAAUCUGACAGAGGGACUUUAAAAUGGUGAUUAAACCAAAGGCCAUAAAAUUACAAAGAAGACUCAUCUUUUCAAGUUGUUAAAAUUCUUUAACUCAAGUCUAUUUUACUUGGCAAUUCUGAGGUAAUUUGUUUCCUAAGUAAAAUCAACUUUUAAACGAACACUGUAAGGUGAAGUGAUCGUUUUACAUCUAUUUCUGUCAGAGGUCUUGAAAUA